AUUGAACGCUGGCGGCAUGCCUUACACAUGCAAGUCGAACGGUAACAGGCCGCAAGGUGCUGACGAGUGGCGAACGGGUGAGUAAUGCAUCGGAACGUGCCCAGUCGUGGGGGAUAACUGCUCGAAAGAGCAGCUAAUACCGCAUACGACCUGAGGGUGAAAGCGGGGGACCGAAAGGCCUCGCGCGAUUGGAGCGGCCGAUGUCAGAUUAGGUAGUUGGUGGGGUAAAGGCCUACCAAGCCGACGAUCUGUAGUUGGUCUGAGAGGACGACCAGCCACACUGGGACUGAGACACGGCCCAGACUCCUACGGGAGGCAGCAGUGGGGAAUUUUGGACAAUGGGGGCAACCCUGAUCCAGCAAUGCCGCGUGCAGGAAGAAGGCCUUCGGGUUGUAAAGCACUUUAAGCGAGGAGGAGGCUACCUGGAUUAAUACUCUAGGAUAGUGGACGUUACUCGCAGAAUAAGCACCGGCUAACUCUGUGCCAGCCGCCGCUGUAAAAC
rnacentral:rRNA from 1 species